rnacentral:rRNA from 1 species
CGGCCUUAGUGGCGCACGGGUGCGUAACGCGUGGGAAUCUGCCCUUGGGUUCGGAAUAACAGUGGGAAACUACUGCUAAUACCGGAUGAUGACGUAAGUCCAAAGAUUUAUCGCCCAAGGAUGAGCCCGCGUAGGAUUAGCUAGUUGGUGAGGUAAAGGCUCACCAAGGCGACGAUCCUUAGCUGGUCUGAGAGGAUGAUCAGCCACACUGGGACUGAGACACGGCCCAG